rnacentral:rRNA from 1 species
UACGUAGGGUGCAAGCGUUAAUCGGAAUUACUGGGCGUAAAGCGUGCGCAGGCGGUUUUGUAAGUCAGAUGUGAAAUCCCCGGGCUUAAACCUGGGAACUGCGUUUGAAACUACAAGGCUAGAGUGUGACAGAGGGGGGUGGAAUUCCACGUGUAGCAGUGAAAUGCGUAGAGAUGUGGAGGAACACCGAUGGCGAAGGCAGCCCCCUGGGUUAACACUGACGCUCAGGCACGAAAGCGUGGGGAGCAAACAGG